GAAACAGUGGCUAAGACUGGAUAGGAAGAAAUAAGGCAUCUUUUUUCUUUUAAAAGACCUAGUGAUAGGUAUACUUUAGGAGGGGCUUGCGCCAUAUUAGUUAGUUGGUAGGGUAAUGGCCUACCAAGACGAUGAUGUGUAGCUGGACUGAGAGGUUGAACAGCCACAUUGGGACUGAGACACGGCCCAAACUCCUACGGGAGGCAGCAGUAGGGAAUUUUCGGCAAUGGAGGAAACUCUGACCGAGCAACGCCGCGUGAACGACGAAGUACUUUGGUAUGUAAAGUUCUUUUAUCAAGGAAGAAAACCAAGUGGUGAACCAUUUGUUUGCCGGUACUUGAUGAAUAAGCCCCGGCUAAUUAUGUGCCAGCAGCCGCGGUAAGACAUAAGGGGCAAGUGUUAUCCGGAAUUAUUGGGCGUAAAGGGUGCGUAGGCGGUCUAGUAAGUCAGUGGUGUAAUGGCAACGCUCAACGUUGUCCGGCUAUUGAAACUGCUAAACUUGAGUUAGAUAGAGGCGAGUGGAAUUCCAUGUGUAGCGGUAAAAUGCGUAAAUAUAUGGAGGAACACCAGAGGCGUAGGCGGCUCGCUGGGUCUUAACUGACGCUGAGGCACGAAAGCGUGGGGAGCAAACAGGAUUAGAUACCCUGGUAGUCCACGCCGUAAACGAUGAGUACUAAGUGUCGGGUUAAACCGGUACUGAAGUUAACACAUUAAGUACUCCGCCUGAGUAGUACGUACGCAAGUAUGAAACUUAAAGGAAUUGACGGGACUCCGCACAAGCGGUGGAUCAUGUUGUUUAAUUCGAAGAUACCCGAAAAACCUUACCAGGUCUUGACAUGUUUUUGCGAAACGGUAGUAAUAUCGUGGAGGUUAUCAGAAACACAGGUGGUGCAUGGUUGUCGUCAGCUCGUGUCGUGAGAUGUUAGGUUAAGUCCUAAAACGAGCGAAACCCUUAUCGUUAGUUGCCAGCACGUUAUGGUGGGGACUUUAACGAGACUGCCAGUGAUAAAUUGGAGGAAGGUGAGGAUCACGUCAAAUCAGCAUGCCCCUUAUGACCUGGGCUACAAACGUGAUACAAUGGCUGUUACAAAGGGUAGCUGAAACGCAAGUUCUUGGCCAAUCCCCAAAAACAGUCUCAGUCCGGAUUGAAGUCUGCAACUCGACUUCAUGAAGUUGGAAUCGCUAGUAAUCGCGAAUCAGCAUGUCGCGGUGAAUACGUUCUCGGGGUUUGUACACACCGCCCGUCA
rnacentral:rRNA from 1 species